GUGAGUCAUCGAAUCUUUGAACGCACCUUGCGCUCCUUGGUAUUCCGAGGAGCAUGCCUGUUUGAGUGUCAUUAAAUUCUCAACCUCACCAAUUUUGUUAUGAAGUUGUGUGUAGGCUUGGAUGUGGGGGUUGCAGGUCCACUUUGUGGUCUGCUCCUCUGAAAUGUAUUAGUGGGUUUGGCCCCUAAUCUAUUGGUGUGAUAAUUAUCUACGCCGUGGAUUGGAUGGCUAUUUUAGACCUGCUUCUAACCGUCCUUCACAGGACAACUCUCGACAUUUUUGACCUCAAAUCAGGUAAGACUACCCGCUGAACUUAA
rnacentral:rRNA from 1 species